rnacentral:sRNA from 1 species
UAUAAAUCAUAUAUAUGAAAGUUGGCCAACUCUCUCCAUAUGAUUGACACAUCAUCACUUUACCAUUUGCCAUGUGUCUAUUAAAUAAUUAAUGUAAGCUCUUCAACUUCUAAUUUAUAGGUUAAUGAUAUAUUUAUUAUUUUAUUUUACAUAUUUAAU